UACAGAGGUCCCAAGCGUUGUUCGGAUUCACUGGGCGUAAAGGGUGCGUAGGUGGCCGGGUAAGUCUGACGUGAAAUCUCCGAGCCUAACUCGGAAACUGCAUCGGAUACUAUCCGGCUUGAGGAUUGGAGGGGGGACUGGAAUACUUGGUGUAGCAGUGAAAUGCGUAGAUAUCAAGUGGAACACCAGUGGCGAAGGCGGUUCUCUGGGCCUUACCUGACACUGAGGAGCGAAAGCGUGGGGAGCGAACAGG
rnacentral:rRNA from 1 species